rnacentral:rRNA from 1 species
AUUGAACGCUGGCGGCAGGCCUAACACAUGCAAGUCGAGCGGAUGAGUGGAGCUUGCUCCAUGAUUCAGCGGCGGACGGGUGAGUAAUGCCUAGGAAUCUGCCUGGUAGUGGGGGACAACGUUUCGAAAGGAACGCUAAUACCGCAUACGUCCUACGGGAGAAAGCAGGGGACCUUCGGGCCUUGCGCUAUCAGAUGAGCCUAGGUCGGAUUAGCUAGUAGGUGAGGUAAUGGCUCACCUAGGCGACGAUCCGUAACUGGUCUGAGAGGACGAUCAGUCACACUGGAACUGAGACACGGUCCAGACUCCUACGGGAGGCAGCAGUGGGGAAUAUUGGGACAAUGGGCGAAAGCCUGAUCCAGCCAUGCCGCGUGUGUGAAGAAGGUCUUCGGAUUGUAAAGCACUUUAAGUUGGGAGGAAGGGCAGUAAGUUAAUACCUUGCUGUUUGACGUUACCAACUAGAAUAAGCACCGGCGUAACUUCGUGCCAG